rnacentral:rRNA from 1 species
UAANCCUGAGAAACCCAAAAGAUCGAAUGGGGAGAUUCAUCGUUAGCGACGCUGGCUUCCGUGUGGUUCGCGAUGACCGGAGCUUCGGUUCCGCGUCACGCGUCCGCUGCGGUAUGCCCGGUGUCGUCGACGUGCACUUCUCCCCUAGUAGGACGUCGCGACCCGUUGGGUGCCGGCCUACGGCCCGGUUGGUCGACUGUCGCGUCGCGUUCACGUGCACGCGGCAGACCACCGGUCGCCCGGCCGGCUGCCCGGCGGUAUAGAUCGCUAUAAAACGGUAUUGGGCCGCAUUAAGUGCGUUCUGGCCCGUUGGCAGGCUCGUCUCGCUCGGAUUUACGGACCUAGUGCCGUUGCCGGGCGCUUGGCGUGGCCGUUAGUCAACGAUGUCCUCGGACUGGCUCUUACAUUCGA